rnacentral:tRNA from 1 species
GGGGAUUUAGCUCAGCGGCAUAAGCGCCUGCCUUGAAAGCAGGCAGUUGUGAGUUCAAUCCCCA